CCUACGGGAGGCUGCAGUGAGGAAUAUUGGUCAAUGGCCGCAGGGCUGAACCAGCCAAGUCGCGUGAGGGAUGACGGUCCUAUGGAUUGUAAACCUCUUUUGUCAGGGAGCAAAGGGCGCCACGUGUGGCGUUUUGCGAGUACCUGAAGAAAAAGCAUCGGCUAACUCCGGGCCAGCAGCCGCGGUAAUACGGGGGAUGCGAGCGUUAUCCGGAUUUAUUGGGUUAAAGGGGUGCGCAGGCGGAAGGUCAAGUCAGCGUGAAAAUUUCGGGGCUCAACCCCGUCGUGCCGUUGAAACUGGCGAUCUUGAGUGAGCGAGAAGUAUGCGGAAUGCGUGGUGUAGCAGUGAAAUGCAUAGAUAUCACGCAGAACUCCGAUUGCGAAGGCAGCAUACCGGCGCUCAACUGACGCUCAUGCACGAAAGCGUGGGUAGCGAACAGGAUUAGAUACCCGAGUAGUC
rnacentral:rRNA from 1 species